rnacentral:rRNA from 1 species
AUUGAACGCUGGCGGCAGGCAUAACACAUGCAAGUCGAACGAGUGGCGGACGGGUGAGUAAUGUCUGGGAAACUGCCCGAUGGAGGGGGAUAACUACUGGAAACGGUAGCUAAUACCGCAUACCAUCGGAUGUGCCCAGAUGUGAUUAGCUUGUAGGUGAGGUAACGGCUCACCUAGGCGAAGAUCCCUAGCUGUUCUGAGAGGAUGACCAGCCAAACGGGAACGGAGACACGGUCCAGACUCCGACGGGAGGCAGCAGUGGGGAAUAUGGCACAAUGGGCGGAAGUCGUAUGCAGCCAUGCCGGGUGUAUGAAGAAGGCGUUAGGGUUGUAAAGUACUGUCAGCGGGGAGGCGGUCCCCGCAGAAGUAGCACCGGCUAACUCCGUGCCAGCAGCCGCGGUAAUAC